rnacentral:lncRNA from 1 species
AAGCCGAUCGUCGUUCCCCCGUCGGGAGCCCUCGCAAGCGUCGCGGUCUUUUCGCGCGAAGACAAGUGCACGGAAGGGGGCACGGCGAGGCGUUCUCGGCGCAGCCACCGAAAGGGAAAGGAGAAGCCGCUUUGUUCAGCCCCCACGAGGACCGCACGAUGCCCGAGAAGAGCAACAACGGAGGCUCCAAGGACAACGACCGCUGGAAGGUGAAGGCGAUUCCGUUUCCCCCGUCGGCGGAGAGGAGGGACACGGGCUUCCGGGAAUACCAGCCCGGCGUGCUGUAUCCUCGCUCGGGAAGCAGCAGUCCGACUUCGCCGCAGCCCACUCAAGGCGGAUGGAAAUACUCAUGAAGUUAGAACGGAGCUUGCGGAGAAGAGCCAGCUCUAGCAGUACCGAGGAUUCUUCAAGCCCAACAGACAGUCACCGUGUGCUAUACUCAUCGCCGUGUUUUGUACUGUACAUACAAUGUCGAGAGCGCACUCUUUCAACGACUGCUUCUUUUUGUGUGCGAUUACAGAUUUGGUGCCGUAUUUUUGCAUAAAGAAUGCAGACUCUACCGAACAAUAUUUGGAAAAUUAGGCCCUCAUUACGUUCUCAAAAAAGUCUGAUUAUGUGUUCGUAAAAGUAGGGGGCAAGCAACGUGCUUAGUCUGCUUUUGCCACUGUCUUCUUUAUAUGUACGAAGGGUCCACUGUUAAAGGGAACGCUGGAGCGCGUGUCGUCUGCUCGGCGCCACAGCCGGCCUGUAGUUUCGCGCAUGAACAAUGAGCGCUGUGGGCGGCACUCGUUUGUCGUCUGCUACACUUCCAGCCGCGCUUCAGUUCGUCGCGAAGCCAGCCGUCCUCGCGAUUUGAAAUGUGUCCGCAGGCUGCAUGGCCACGCUCAGAUGAAAAGCUGAGGCAAAGCUCAAAAGAAAUUAGAUUAUGUAAAAUACUACCUCACUGAUACAUUUGGUGGUUAGAGAAGCAUACCUUCUUCUUUACAGACGCCCUUUUCUGGCAUAGCUAUAUUAAAGAAUAUUUUUCCUUGUGGAGUGCGUAUUUGACGCGCACUAAUGCUGAUUUGAGCUGCUGCAGUGCGUAAGCUCAACAAGGCAUUUACAUGGAUGGAUGGAUACUACGAACGUCCUCUUUAUAACGGGGGUGACCGGUGUGUCACCAGGCUCGCAAAAAAGAAAAAGAAAACUUUCUUUUUUUAUGUUGGCCAGUUGCCUUAUCUACUUCGAUUGAAUUGAUUCUAUUGUAACAAAGAAAAAUGUAAAUUUAUGUUCGAUCUCUCUGCCUCUUCAGACAGAAUGAAACUUAUUUCCCCAGUAUUUCUGUCCUUUAUCCCUACUUUUCUGCCACCAAUACUCUAACCAUCUCUUACUUGCUUCUAUUGCGGACGUGUCAGCUUUUCCUGUUUGUCCCUAAAACCCAAAGCCUCAUGUAGGCUUGUACCCACACGUAUAACUGGGUGGAUAUCGCCCACCUAUACAAGUGCCUUUAACUGACGCCGCCAUAAAACUUUCUCGAAGCGGGACGUUCUUUAUCUAACGAGAAUGCGAACGAAUGAUGGCCACCCGACCGAUGAGUCGGGUGACAUUUAUCUGAUUAUAGAUCAUUCUCGUCGGUUUCUUUCUAGCUCGAAAGAAAGCGACAAUUUUUACGAUUUAACCACAUAGACCACCCUUCGCGACGAGCUGAAGAGCGGCCGCAACUGUAAACCAGACGACAAACGAGCGCCAGCCACAGCGCUCACUGCUCCUGCGCGAAACUGGUUGCCGCAGCCGGCCGGCGGUGGCGCCGAGCAGACGACACGUGCUCCGGUGUUCCCUUUAACAGUGGACCCUAUGUACAUGAUGACCGCAUUGUUUGCCAUCAUGUUUUUUCAAUAUCGUUCGGUCACUCUAGCUGUCCUCACCUUUUUUGUUGGUUUAUGACAUUGACCAUCAACGAAUGCGACUAUUAUACAUACUUUUUCUCGUGUAUUUACCACGAAUUGCACCUUACGGUUUCAUUCUUUUAGUUAAUAUGUUUGGUCCGACUUGUAAGAGACGCAUUAAAUUUUGGCGAGUGUUAGCUAUAUAGCAUUGGAUGAACGGCUGGUGACGGUGAGCCUAAAGGUUAGGGUCCCUGAGCCCCAAUUAAAUCAAAUUCUCAGGUUUUGCGCAUUAAACCAAGACCUUAUGAGGAAGUACGCCCUAGUUGUGCACUCAAUUCUGACUCCGCGGAAUUGGUUAGUGGGCGCCUGUGUAUACAUAUGCAGGGACGUUUUAUUCUUCCCACCCCAAUCUGAAUGCUGCUGGCCUGGCGUGACAUCGCGGGCCCGACAGUGCGACGCCAUGUCUAUUGAGUACUGCGGAUGGCUAAUGAAGCUUUGUUUGUGAAAUUUACAAAUGGAAUCAGUAUGGCCAUUAGAAAGAAACACCUGAAUUAUUCUUCAUUUGCUUAAAAAUUGAAACGUAGAACAAUAUACUAAUUCGUUUUGUACAUACAUAUAAAAGAAGGAAGGAAGAGGAAAAGGAAGGAAAGGCAGGAAGGUCAACCAGAUGGCGCGUCCGGUUUGCUAUCCUGCACAGGGGAAAGGGGAAUGAGCGAUUAAGAGACAGUGUGAUAGAAAGAAGGGAGCCAGCUUGCAUUGCCUGCAAGACCCAGAUCGUGGAAUACGGCGACCCAAUCGUGCUGGUGUCACUGUAGGUGGCUGAUAGAAAGAUCAUACCCGAUAAAAAAGGGCGAUGGCGUAGUCAGUACAGUACCCUUUGUUAUGAGUUCAGUCAAUGAGAAUGUGAUGCUCUCCAUCAGUAUCGACAGCCACGCAAAAAGAGCCUCUGCAGCAUUUCAAGCACAGGAUGUCAGACCAUAAUGCGCACUGUGUGUAUAAGGCACGUUCUCUUUCAAUUAUUGAAAAAAAAAUGGUCCCUCUGAUUCCGCUGGCGUUAAUUAAGAAGUAUGGCGGUCUUCACUAA